rnacentral:misc_RNA from 1 species
ACCAAAACUAAUUCAAUCACCUCACCACUCUCGUUAAAUUACUCAAUUCUCUUCUCUCUCUCUUCCCACGCCCACCCUUUCUUCCAAUUUCAUUGUGCUGCUCAGGCCCAGCCUCCUUUUUGGUUCGCUCUCGAGCAGAUCCAUCUCCUAUUCGUAUAUCCCUCAAAAGUUGUCUUUUCCUUGAUACCAAUCGCACCCAGUUUAUAUCUCACGUUUUCGAAGAAAAGGGAAUAGAAAACAGAUGGGUGGUGAAGGGAAAGUUUUCAC